AUUGAACGCUGGCAGCAGGCCUAACACAUGCAAGUCGAGCGGAUGAAGAGAGCUUGCUCUCUGAUUUAGCGGCGGACGGGUGAGUAAUGCCUAGGAAUCUGCCUGGUAGUGGGGGAUAACGUUCCGAAAGGAACGCUAAUACCGCAUACGUCCUACGGGAGAAAGCAGGGGACCUUCGGGCCUUGCGCUAUCAGAUGAGCCUAGGUCGGAUUAGCUAGUUGGUGAGGUAAUGGCUCACCAAGGCUACGAUCCGUAACUGGUCUGAGAGGAUGAUCAGUCACACUGGAACUGGGACACGGUCCAGACUCCUACGGGAGGCAGCAGUGGGGAAUAUUGGACAAUGGGCGAAAGCCUGAUCCAGCCAUGCCGCGUGUGUGAAGAAGGUCUUCGGAUUGUAAAGCACUUUAAGUUGGGAGGAAGGGCAGUAAGCUAAUACCUUGCUGUUUUGACGUUACCGACAGAAUAAGCACCGGCUAACUUCGUGCCAGCCGCCGCGGUAAUAC
rnacentral:rRNA from 1 species